rnacentral:lncRNA from 1 species
UAGGAAGAGGAGAUGAGGGGAAAACCGGGCUGAAUCUAAACAGCCUGACAAUUCAUCUAUUUAAUAUUUAGCCAGUUAAGAAAGGUUGUAAUCCCUGCAAGGCAGCAAGCUCUCCUUUGAUUUCCCUAAUAGCUUUAAAAAUAAUUUCUUACAAGACAAUUAGAAAUUCUGCCUAUGGAUGCAAAUUUCAUAGAAAAACAAUUUUAAGCCUUGAACGUGGGUAAAAUAUCCCUUCGGUUGAAGUCAUUUAUUCUUUUGAUACACUUCUACAACAUGUAUACUUUAAACCUGCUCAGAUAAAGUGAAAUUUAGCAAAAAGGAUAAUUCCCUCCCGCCCCC